GACCUGACACUACAGGUAUGGACAUAUGGCGCAAG
rnacentral:tRNA from 1 species